UGACUCCACCUACCUCCAUCAACACCCACCACCGACACCCCUAAUCAUCUCUUCCCCUCUUUACUUUUAUCUCCGGCGAAUCUCGUUUCUCCGACCAACCUGCUUCGGCUUAGUAAUAAUAAUCGCCGAAGAGAAAUGAAGAAAGAAAGAGAUCGCAAUAUUCAAAAGUUCUAAACGUGGAGUGUUUGUACUUGGACUGAGAUAAACAUUAUUGGCCGGUGAAUACAUCUUUUCUAUUUCUUCUUCUGUAUACACACACACACACACACACUUGCUCGCUCCAUAACAUCCGUCUUUCAUAUCUACCCAGCUCCCCCUUUUCCAUUUCAUUCUCAAUAACAUUCACAUGGCCUUACUAGCUAAAGAUAUCAUUACUGGUUCUUCUAUGGUGGAUAAUAAAUCAUCAUCUUUUGGCUCAAAUAUUAUUAAUCAGAAUCUGGGUCAGUUGUGUGUGAACCCUGUUCUGAUUCCGCUUGAUCGGAAGAGGAGAUUGAGAAAGGGUGUAAGAACAACGACUCCGGUGGUAGUGUCGGCAAUCAGUGAAGAUUUGGUCAAACUCGUGAGGGUUGAAAAGGGGGUUUCUUUUAAGGUGAAAGCUGUGUUGACUGUUCGGAACAAGGUUAAGGAGGACCUCACGGAGACAAUUGUUAGGAAGUUGGAUGCUUUUGCCGAUUAGAUCGGGAGGAAUGUUGUUCUGGAGCUUCACAGUGACGAUAUUGAUCCAAGUAAGUCAAUUGUUCGAUGAAAUGCCUCUGAGAAAAAAGAGUUUUUUUUAAUUGGGAUAGUGGAGGGCGGCAUGGAUGGAUAACGAUGGGAGGGUGGUAGGAUGUCAAGGGUGGUCGGCGUUGCAAGUACUACUUGAAAACAAGAUGGUGUUGGGGUGCUUCUUAAUGGCGGUAAAAGAUGGUGGUGUUGAGGUGGCAUCUAAACGCUGGAAGGAUGGUCGACACCGAAUACGGCCGGUGGAGACACCGGACCAGUGGAGAAGAAUAGGUAGAGAAGAAGGGGGGGGUUAUCUUUUAAUAAAUGAGUGGGCCCACUUAUAAGGGGACUAUCCGAGUAACAACUUGACAAACCACAGGGAGUGUAGGUGUAAUUUUCAAAAAUUAGGGACUACAUUCACUAGGCCACAUGGACUAUCCAAGCAUUUUACUCUAUUAAAAAAUGCUCAAGUUGUAGAAACACGAUUCUGUUGUGAACAAGCCUAAUAGCAAGAAGAUAAGAAGAGAUAAUUGGGAGAGAAAGAGAUGUUUAAUAUUAAUGGUGCAUCAUAUACAAUAGAAUACAUGGACUAUUUAUAGGGGGAUAAACUUGGAGAACAAGCCGGUUUAUAUUAGGAGUUGAUAAUCUAAAUAUAAUUCUUUAUAAUACUCCCCCUGAUUAUCAACUUCAUACGCUUGAUGCUGCCUCACUAAAAACCUUGCUAGGAAAACCCAAUGGGACAAAACCUUGACUAAGGGAAAAAGAGUGCAGCGCGUAUUAUCUCCCCCUGAUGAUGAUCACUUAAGCUCCUUGAGUCGACGCAUCCCGAUUCCAUGAACUAACUUCUUGAAUGUUGAGGUUGGAAGUGAUUUAGUGAACAAGUCUGCCAAAUUUUCGCUGGAACGAAUUUGUUGGACAAUAACAUCUCCAUUCUUUUGUAGAUCAUGUGUGAAAAAAAACUUUGCCAAAAUGUGCUUUGUUCUAUCACCUUUGAUGUAUCCUUCCUUAAGUUGAGCAAUGCAUGCUGCGUUGUCUUCAUGUAAGAUUGUCGGUCCCUCAUAUCCCGAAGAAAUACCACAAGAUCCACGAAUGUGUUGUAUUACA